rnacentral:rRNA from 1 species
UUAGGCGUCAGGAGUGAACGCUAGACGGCAAGGCUUAAUACAUGCAAGUCUGGGGCAGCGCAGUGUAGCAAUACAUGGCGGCGAACCGGCAAACGGUGCGGAACACGUACACAACCUUCCUACAAGUGGGAAUAGCCCAGAGAAAUUUGAUUAAUACCCGUAACAUAUAAAGAUGGCAUCAUUUUUAUAUUAUAGCUACGGCGCUUGUUGAUGGGUGUGCGGCUGAUUAGGUAGUUGGCGGGGUAAUGGCCCACCAAGCCUGCGAUCAGUAGCUGAUGUGAGAGCAUGAUCAGCCACACGGGCACUGAGACACGGGCCCGACUCCUACGGGAGGCAGCAGUAAGGAAUAUUGGACAAUGGGCGCAAGCCUGAUCCAGCCAUGCCGCGUGAAGGAUUAGGGUCCUCUGGAUUGUAAACUUCUUUUAUAAGGGACGAAAAAAGGGAAUUCUUUCUCACUUGACGGUACCUUAUGAAUAAGCACCGGCUAACUCCGUG